GCAGUAGUAGCUCAGUGGUAGAGCUCUCGCUUCAUAUGCGGGAAGACCUUUUGCU
rnacentral:tRNA from 1 species